CCUACGGGAGGCAGCAGUGAGGAAUAUUGGUCAAUGGGCGAGAGCCUGAACCAGCCAAGUCGCGUGAGGGAAGACGGUCCUAUGGAUUGUAAACCUCUUUUGCCGGGGAGCAAAAAGCGGUACGCGUACCGCAUCGAGAGUACCCGGAGAAAAAGCAUCGGCUAACUCCGUGCCAGCAGCCGCGGUAAUACGGAGGAUGCGAGCGUUAUCCGGAUUUAUUGGGUUUAAAGGGUGCGCAGGCGGCGAGUUAAGUCAGCGGUAAAAUUUCGGGGCUCAACCCCGACAAGCCGUUGAAACUGGCUGGCUAGAGUGGGAGAGAAGUAUGCGGAAUGCGUGGUGUAGCGGUGAAAUGCAUAGAUAUCGCGCAGAACUCCGAUUGCGAAGGCAGCAUACCGGCGCCCAACUGACGCUCAGGCACGAAAGCGUGGGUAUCGAACAGGAUUAGAUACCCGGGUAGUC
rnacentral:rRNA from 1 species